rnacentral:rRNA from 1 species
GACGAACGCUGGCGGCGUGCUUAACACAUGCAAGUCGAACGGAAAGGCCCUGCUUUUGUGGGGUGCUCGAGUGGCGAACGGGUGAGUAACACGUGAGUAACCUGCCCUUGACUUUGGGAUAACUUCAGGAAACUGGGGCUAAUACCGGAUAGGAGCUCCUGCUGCAUGGUGGGGGUUGGAAAGUUUCGGCGGCUGGGGAUGGACUCGCGGCUUAUCAGCUUGUUGGUGGGGUAGUGGCUUACCAAGGCUUUGACGGGUAGCCGGCCUGAGAGGGUGACCGGCCACAUUGGGACUGAGAUACGGCCCAGACUCCUACGGGAGGCAGCAGUGGGGAAUAUUGCACAAUGGGCGGAAGCCUGAUGCAGCAACGCCGCGUGCGGGAUGACGGCCUUCGGGUUGUAAACCGCUUUCGCCUGUGACGAAGCGUGAGUGACGGUAAUGGGUAAAGAAGCACCGGCUAACUACGUGCCAGCAGCCGCGGUGAUACGUAGGGUGCGAGCGUUGUCCGGAUUUAUUGGGCGUAAAGGGCUCGUAGGUGGUUGAUCGCGUCGGAAGUGUAAUCUUGGGGCUUAACCCUGAGCGUGCUUUCGAUACGGGUUGACUUGAGGAAGGUAGGGGAGAAUGGAAUUCCUGGUGGAGCGGUGGAAUGCGCAGAUAUCAGGAGGAACACCAGUGGCGAAGGCGGUUCUCUGGGCCUUUCCUGACGCUGAGGAGCGAAAGCGUGGGGAGCGAACAGGCUUAGAUACCCUGGUAGUCCACGCUGUAAACGGUGGGUACUAGGUGUGGGGUCCAUUCCACGGGUUCCGUGCCGUAGCUAACGCUUUAAGUACCCCGCCUGGGGAGUACGGCCGCAAGGCUAAAACUCAAAGGAAUUGACGGGGCCCCGCACAAGCGGCGGAGCAUGCGGAUUAAUUCGAUGCAACGCGUAGAACCUUACCUGGGUUUGACAUGGAUCGGGAGCACUCAGAGAUGGGUGUGCCUCUUUUGGGGUCGGUUCACAGGUGGUGCAUGGCUGUCGUCAGCUCGUGUCGUGAGAUGUUGGGUUAAGUCCCGCAACGAGCGCAACCCUUGUUCACUGUUGCCAGCACGUUAUGGUGGGGACUCAGUGGAGACCGCCGGGGCCAACUCGGAGGAAGGUGGGGAUGACGUCAAGUCAUCAUGCCCCUUAUGUCCAGGGCUUCACGCAUGCUACAAUGGCUGGUACAGAGAGUGGCGAGCCUGUGAGGGUGAGCGAAUCUCGGAAAGCCGGUCUCAGUUCGGAUUGGGGUCUGCAACUCGACCUCAUGAAGUCGGAGUCGCUAGUAAUCGCAGAUCAGCAACGCUGCGGUGAAUACGUUCCCGGG